AUGGACGAACUUAUGAAAUUGUUUUCUACUAAGAGUGCUCCUAUUGAUCCCAAUGAUAUGCCUUUGUCUACUUUGAUUGAGAAUAAAAAUGAAUCUAUGGAUGAGAAUUUUGUUGGUAGGAAUAGUUUUGGAAACAAUGCUUAUAGAGGAAACUUUAAUCCUAGACCGUUCCCUAGUAAUUCCUCUAAUAAUUAUGGAAAUUCCUACAAUAAUUCUUAUGGUAAUUUUAAUAAGAUGCCCUUUGAUUUUGAGAAUAGUGUGAAAGAAUUUAUGAUCUCUCAAAAGAAUUUUAAUGCCUUGCUUCAAGAAAAAUUGCUCAAAGUUGAUGAUUUGGCUACGAACGUUGAUAGACUUUCGCUUGAUGUUGAUUCUCUUAAACUUAGAUCUACCCCUCCUACGCAUGAUAUCAAUGAGUCUCUCAAAGCAAUGAGAGUGUCCAUUGAUGAAUGCAAAGAAAGAACCACUAGAUUGUGUGCUAAGAAAGAUUGCUUUGUAAAGGCGUGUUCUUCUAAUUUCCAUGAAAAUAAUGAUGAAUAUCUUAAAGUUAUUGAUGUAUCCCCUAUUAGAUCUUUGUUUUGCAAUAUGAAUCUUAAUAAUAAUGGGACUGGAGAUGAGUCCCAAUAUUUCGGAGUUUUUAGAUCUUGA
rnacentral:rRNA from 1 species